rnacentral:tRNA from 1 species
GUGGACGGGGCCGGUCGGGUGGUCGGCACGCCGCUGGUGUCGGCGCCGGGCCUGUUCGAAUCCGGCGACGACG